rnacentral:rRNA from 1 species
GACGAACGCUGGCGGCGUGCUUAACACAUGCAAGUCGAACGGAAAGGCCCCUUUGGGGGUACUCGAGUGGCGAACGGGUGAGUAACACGUGAGUAACCUGCCCUUGACUUCGGGAUAACUUCAGGAAACUGGGGCUAAUACCGGAUAGGAAUCCUUGCUGCAUGGUGGGGGUUGGAAAGCUUCGGCGGUUUUGGAUGGACUCGCGGCGUAUCAGCUUGUUGGUGGGGUAGUGGCUUACCAAGGCUUUGACGGGUAGCCGGCCUGAGAGGGCGACCGGCCAUACUGGGACCGAGGGACGGCCCAGACUCCUACGGGAGGCAGCAGUGGGGAAUAUUGCACAAUGGGCGGAAGCCGGAUGCAGCAACGCCGCGUGCGGGAUGACGGCCUUCGGGUUGUAAACCGCUUGCAGAAGGGGCGAAGCUUGUGGUGACGGUACCUGCAGAAGAAGCACCGGCUAACUACGUG